rnacentral:rRNA from 1 species
UCGAGCGAGUCUGCCUUGAAGAUCGGAGUGCUUGCACUCUGUGAAACAAGAUACAGGCUAGCGGCGGACGGGUGAGUAACACGUGGGUAACCUGCCCAAGAGAUCGGGAUAACACCUGGAAACAGAUGCUAAUACCGGAUAACAACAGAUGAUGCCUAUCAACUGUUUAAAAGAUGGUUCUGCUAUCACUCUUGGAUGGACCUGCGGUGCAUUAGCUAGUUGGUAGGGUAACGGCCUACCAAGGCGAUGAUGCAUAGCCGAGUUGAGAGACUGAUCGGCCACAUUGGGACUGAGACACGGCCCAAACUCCUACGGGAGGCAGCAGUAGGGAAUCUUCCACAAUGGACGCAAGUCUGAUGGAGCAACGCCGCGUGAGUGAAGAAGGGUUUCGGCUCGUAAAGCUCUGUUGUUGGUGAAGAAGGACAGGGGUAGUAACUGACCUUUGUUUGACGGUAAUCAAUUAGAAAGUCACGGCUAACUACGUGCCAGCAGCCGCGGUAAUACGUAGGUGGCAAGCGUUGUCCGGAUUUAUUGGGCGUAAAGCGAGUGCAGGCGGCUCGAUAAGUCUGAUGUGAAAGCCUUCGGCUCAACCGGAGAAUUGCAUCAGAAACUGUCGAGCUUGAGUACAGAAGAGGAGAGUGGAACUCCAUGUGUAGCGGUGAAAUGCGUAGAUAUAUGGAAGAACACCGGUGG